CUCGUGUAUUUCCGCUUCCUCAGCAGCCUGAGUUGUGGUAGCUAGCAUGGAGUCUACUGUGUGACUGUUAGAAUAGUGAACCGUGUUGAACAUGUUUGGACGCGCUCCGUUCGGCCGCCCUCCGGCCCCCGGACCUCCCUUUGGCUUUUCUUCUGGUCACAUGCCGCCUGGACCCGGGGCUUCUUUCCUCAGCCGUUUCCCCUCCGCACAGUUCACUCCCCGCUGUGACCAAGGCUCAUCACAUGCUGUGGAACAGCCAGCACACCUGCAGCGUCCGUGGAGCGCCACCCCCUGUGAAAGCAGUGAACAGGCUGGGGAGGAGUUCUUAAGAUGCAUCGCAGACAACAAACCUCUGCCAGACUACCUGAAGAGAACCUUUGCAGGUGAUGUGAAGGAUGUGAUGAAGUCCACUCUCAUUGUGAAAAAAGUGGAGGAGUUCCACAAGCUGAUGAGAAGAAGGAAGAGCACGAGCAGGGGCCGCAGCCGUGGCAGGAGCCGCUGUAAGAGUGUGUAUCGCUCCCGCAGUAAGAGUCCAGGAAGCAGGGGGCGUAGCAGGGGGAGGAGCAAGAGCCGUGAGCGCCGCUGCAGGAGCAAGUCCAGGAAACAUAGUCGCAGCAAGAGCUGUGCCAGGAAACACAGUCGCAGCAAGAGCUGUGCCAGGAAGAAAAGCCGCUCACAGAGCAGGGCUCCGGCUCCAAGGGCCAAAUCCCAGAGCCGAGUGAUGAAAAGGAGCCACAGCAGGAGCCACAGCAGCACCACGUCACCAGCACGCAGCGUCAUCCACAAACUGAUGCAGGUCGUUAGCAGGAAGAGAUUAGAAGAUGUCAUCCACUCCAUCCAGGCUGCAGGAGGAGUAAAAACAGAGGAGCACGUGUCCAGUGAGCAAACAUGUGUGCAUCAGGAUGAAGAGGAGAGCGACAUCCUUCCCCAUGACAGGGUGGGCAUGGGCAGUGACUUCUCUUGGCUUCAGACAAACAGGAAUGAGAGCGUUUCCUCUCAAAAGGUUGAGAAGUUUGAUGAAGAGCUUUUUCUCUACGGGAACGGUUUGUCCCUCCAAACAUCAGAGCACAGCCAAGCAGAGGAAACGUUGAAGAGCUUCAGGGUAGAUCCAAAGCUCCUGUUAAAGUUUUCCUCAGUCACUCAGGACAGCUUGGACUGUGAGACCAUCAGGGACAUCCUAAAGAGUGUGGGGGCCGUACCGAUCAUCAAUGAUCACAAGGUGAAGACAGAGGAGCAGAAACAUCCACGGGCAGGUCCUACAGCUUCAUGUUCAACAUCAUCAAAGGCUCAGCCAUCUGGGAUCAAAGCAACAAAAGAGCAGCGUUCUAAAAGUGACGGCCUGUAUGAAACAUCAAAGGAACAGAAGAGCAGAGAGAUGAGAGCACGUAUGAAUCAGAUGGAUUUAUUGAUCAAAGAAAUCCAGCAGCUGCAGAAUCAGGAUGGACUGGGUUAUCUGACACCAGUGUUUGGAUUCUAUUGUCAGAAAUGUGAGGAGUUUGUUGGAGAUCUGAGCUGUGUAGAGAAGCACGUACUGUUCCUUCACAGUGAGGAGCAGAAGAAUCAGCGUGCUAGCAACAGUAAAGGACAUCCAAACAUUCAUGGUUACCAUGGUUACCACAGAGAUGGAGAGAGACGAGACUGCAAAGGAAAGAGCCUCCACUCUGAGCUCAAAGGUCCUGAAGAAAGGCUGAAGGAGGAGAUGAAACAGGAGACGAUGCUGAUCACCGUAUCCCGUGGACAGACUCCUCCUCCUGGCAGGGACACCGUGCCAGGACGAGGACACAAGGGCAGCAGUAAGAGAAAGGACAGAGAGAGUAGAAACAGCAGUGACAGGUUCCAAAGAUCUAGAUCUAAGAAGAAGAAGAAGAAAAAGAAAAAGAAGAGUGACUCUUAUCACUCAUCCUGA
rnacentral:lncRNA from 1 species